GAACCUAUUCAGUGAUGGAUAGCUGAAUUACGAGAAGUCAGCAGACGUCAUAGUACCAACCUAACGGUUGGGAAGGAC
rnacentral:ncRNA from 1 species